UGGGGAAUAUUGGACAAUGGGCGCAAGCCUGAUCCAGCAAUGCCGCGUGAGUGAUGAAGGCCUUAGGGGUUGUAAAAGCUCUUUCGCACGCGACGAUGAUGACGGUAGCGUGAGAAGAAGCCCCGGCUAACUUCGUGCCAGCAGCCGCAGUAAUACGAAGGGGGCUAGCGUUGUUCGGAAUUACUGGGCGUAAAGGGCGCGUAGGCGGCCUGUUUAGUCAGAAGUGAAAGCCCCGGGCUCAACCUGGGAAUAGCUUUUGAUACUGGCAGGCUUGAGUUCCGGAGAGGAUGGUGGAAUUCCCAGUGUAGAGGUGAAAUUCGUAGAUAUUGGGAAGAACACCGGUGGCGAAGGCGGCCAUCUGGACGGACACUGACGCUGAGGCGCGAAAGCGUGGGGAGCAAACAGGAUUAGAUACCCUGGUAGUCCACGCCGUAAACGAUGAGUGCUAGACGUCGGGGUGCAUGCACUUCGGUGUCGCCGCUAACGCAUUAAGCAUUCCGCCU
rnacentral:rRNA from 1 species